CUCUCCCCUGAUGACACUCACAUGCUCUCUCUCUCUCUGUCUUUCAAAAUAAAUCAAUAAACAUUAAAAAAGAAAAGAAAAUUCCCUUAAGGUUCUAUAUGAAAUGUAAUUCUGGAUUUCCUUGAGCCUGAUUUCUCCAUGUUAUAUGUGGAAAGAAGUUAGCAGUUAUAGCAGUUGGUUUUCAAAGGAGCAAAUGGAAGAGUACAUUCUUUCACAGAAGCUUUAUAGGUGGAAGGGGCCUUCAGAAUCCUCUGAAUGUAAGUGAGGCUUACUGUUCACGUGAAGAAACUGUUUUCUCCAGAGUCACAAAACUAGUUAAUGGCAGAGAAGGGAUUAGAGGCCAGCUCUUUUGAUUUCUGGGCCAAUAUUCCUUUUCCUCAGUAGAAGAUUAGAAACCUCUUAUUUCUUGUCUAAGUCUUCUGAAUAGCCAGCUGAGGCCAUGUAAAUUAUAUGCUGGAUAAAACAUAGGCUGACUUGAAAGGACACCUUUCCUUACAAGGUGGUGGGAGACAGGUCAGUGGGAUUGAGUGUGUUUUUAUUGUAGUCUUUCCAUGCCCAGUUGCUGACUGUCACAGGCUAGCCCAGAAGGAUGGGCAGGAUUAAAGGAUCUAUAGCUAGUCCCUCCCGGGCCAUCAUAUAACCACAGGUGUGGUUUUUCUUUUACUGUAGAUCAGCUACCAAGAGACUGCUCUGAGUGGAAACAACAUUCCCUUGAGGAGUUAGGGAAGGUGGGGAGGGCAGCUUAAGAUUCCAUGGAGUAAUAUGAGAAUUCUCUGCAAUAGUGGAGUCUGGCAAUACUUCUGUCUUUGCCCAUCCUUAGUCUGCUCUCAAUUCUGAAAAUGCUAAGUGAAGGAUGCAAAAGAAAGACUAUUCCUUACACUUACCCCUCAGUGUAUGUUUGUGCCUGUUUGGGAGAAGAGAGAGCGAUGCUAGGUUCGUGAAAUUCCUACAUAUUAGUAGAGAUUGGAGGGUUUAGCUAGGAGAAAGCGAAGAAUACAUCAAUGGAAUAGGGGAAAAGAAUAAAUAAGAACUAGAGCUAAAAAUAAUUUCAGGUUGCUAAUCAUUAUAAAGCUGAUUAAUUUAAAAGAAGUUAAAAGUGCAGAUAAGAUCCUGGGUAGCUACCGCAUCACAGAAUCUUUGAGACCACAGUUUCCAGUCAGUAGAUGUUACCAGAAGAGUUAAUUAGCCCAAACUGUGGCUGCUAGUUCUUUAGCUGUCUUCAACUUGAAGGUUUUUUUUAAUAAGUUUUAGAGCUAAUUAGGAUACACCUGGGACUCAUGGCUAAAGCCAAUAGAGUUUCCCCUGGGGGAGUUACUUUUUAUAUACCAAAAUUUAAAAAAAGGAAAAAUGUCAGAUGAAAACAUCAUCUUUAGAUUCAGGAAAAAAAAAUGGCAUAACCAUUUCAACUCAGCAGACCACAAGGCCAAACAAGCUUUGGCUAGAAUUGAAUGCUGUGUGCUUCUGUUCAGAGAAGAGGAUGCUUCCCAGAUGUGUCUGGGGGACUACCUGCCUCACUCUUAUUUAUCAUCAGCUCUCACACAGGAUGUGGUGUCGCUGGCUGGCAAUCUGGAAAUGGCCUGUUUAUUUUUACAGAUCUGUAGAAGAGACUCAAUAGUUGUAAAGGAUGGAAGAGUGCAAAGCAGCUUGGAACUCACAACAAAGGAAACCGGGACGAAAAAAAUUAGAUAAAACAACUGUGACCAUGGGAUCUGCUCCUUGUGCCUGUCGAACAAAGGUGCUAAAUGGAUUUUCUCAUGUCAAAGGAAAGCCAAUUCUUCCUCCCAACCCUGCAGCCCAUGAUUGUAGAACAUCCAGACACCAUUUUUUUUUUUUUUUUUUUUUUUUAAGUUCAGGGAACCUUGGUAUUCUUUUCAACACCAGGACUGGUUGGUUCCUUUAUGAGUUUCGUAAAGAAAAGAAACCUCCCCCAGAGCUGCUUAGGCUGGUGAUUCUCUGUCUCAACCAGGCCUUUCUGGAUAAUUUCCCUCAUGUUAAAACCCCGCAGCAGACUGGAGAAAGAGGAUUCUCCAAAUGCUUGGCUGGGAUAGUGUUGCUGCUAAGUUCCUGCUUCUCCUGAAGUGUUAUCCUGAGUGUAACAACUUUCUGUUCUCUCUCCUGAGAAGAGAUAUGCCUGAGUUCUUGCAGUACCCUGGGACAUAAUUCAUUAUGGCCAGAAUGGAUUUGCUGUACAUAGGAGUCAUACUUCUAACCUGCCAUGUCCAUAGGUAUGUGAGGAUCUAGGAUGAAGCUGAGAGAAUUCUAUCCUGCUGGUUCAUACUCAGAAGGUCUCUAAGCCCACUGAUGACAGGAAAAUCUUCAGUGGUUCCAGAGACAAGCUGCUGGAAAUCCUGCACAUUUAUCUUCUAGAAGGAAGUGAGCUGAGUAGGAUAGUGGUACCUUCAGAAGGUACCUACCCCAAAACUUGAAAGAACUCCAAAGUAAACCAUGUCCAUUUCUGGGACCCUAAAGUGGCUCAUGAAAGUCAGGGUCCACUUGCUUAAGGUUAGGUGAUUUCAAGCCUUGAGAUUUUAAGGGGAGAGUGAAGGUGGGAAAGGGGAUGGUGAAUAGAUUGUGAGAACUUAUCAAAUAAUAGGACGUCUCUUUAAUUCCAAGCAUCAUGUUCUAGUUCACAUUGUAUCUUUCAAUUAAAAAAAGGAAAAGGAAAUGUGUCUUUUUUAAAACAGAUAUUUUACUCUAUUAGUAUUCAGUACAUAAUAUAUGAGUGCACAUUCAUCAUUCAUUAGAUCUAGGUAGAUCACAACCUAAUUUACAAAUUCAAAAGCAUAAGUCGGAUCAACUCAAUUGCUCAAGGCCAUAUAUUCGUAAGCCAGGAGUAUGCACUGAAUAUUUCCUGUCCUUGGACUGCUGUACUGGGCAAUGCUGCUUUUCUAUAAGAAUUUGUUCAUAUGUUGAAUUUAACACAGUUUUGCUUAGCAGUUUAUAACACUUCACCUAUGUGCACUUGUGUAAUAUAAAGUAUAAAAUUAAGUCAAUGAUCUACAAAAUUCAGAGCAAAGUAAUCUAAAUCAUGUGGAUCUUCCUAGAGAUUCUGAUUUCUUUUUUUUUAAUUACACAAUUUUUUAAAUGUUUACUUAUUUUUGAGAGAGAGAGAGGGGGUGGGAGGGGCAGAAAGAGAGGGAGACACAGGAUCCGAAGCAAGCUCUAGGUUCUGAGCUGUCAGAAAAGUGCCUGACAUGGGGCUCGAACUCAGAACUGUGAACUAUGACUUGAACUGAAGUCGGACACUUAACCACACAGCAGCCCCAAUUUCUUUUUAACCUGAAAAAAUAGGUAAUUACUCGAUAGCCUUAGCUCUAAGAUAUAUCUGACAGGCUAUUUUUAUUUGUUUGGUUUUCAGAAAUCAUAUCCAUGCGUUCUGCCCUCUGUAGUUUUUAGCAAAAUGAAUCAAAGCCACUCUGUACCCAAAGAUAACACCAGUGUUGUCUUUUUUUUCCUCCUAAACAUUGCAGUGCUUUACUUAAAGUGCUAUGCAGUAAAUUUACAGGGAAAGAAAAAUUUUAUUAAAUUAUAACUGAGAGGAGCUGAUUUUUUUACAUAGCAAACAAAAAAUUCCUUCAUGAAAGGCUAUAAAACCCAUAUUAUUUACCAGAGAGACCUUUCCUGUCUCCCAGGUAAACACUUACAGUGUGUAGACUUGUGUAAAUACAUAUUUAGGAGUGGCUAAAUAUGGCGAGGUAUUUUUAAAGGUGUAUUUACAAAGCUGAAUACAUAUAUUGGCAUUUCGGUAUGUGGAAGUCGUGUAUGCUGUUCUGCCGUCUAUUCAAAAUUCUAGCAGGACUCUGGUAGAUACACCUUGGAUAAUGGGACUGAGUUUCAAAACAUUCAUCUUUAAUCACAAUUACUAAGGACAGGUCCUUAAAUCAUUUCAAAAGGGUGAAAAUUUUCAACUAAUGGAAUUCGGGUCCUUCUUGCCAGUUUGACUUGAGAAAAAUUGUUCCAGAAAUGUGGCAUCAUUAGCGGAAGCAGAUCUCCUUUCUGAACAUCUUUGUGCAUAAAAUAACUGCCAUUUCACAUUCGGUUUAGAAUGUUACCAAAUAGUCAAAGAUACAGUUCAUUUGAUGGAUGGGUCAGCCAGGAAAUUUUAGUUAAGAGGGGAAAUAUCAUCAAGAUAUUUUUAAAAUACUUUAAAACACAUGAAAAUGUAAGUGAUAAACGCUGUCUGUUGCUAAUUCAAUAGCAGGAAGCUUCCUAUGAUAAUGUAGUGAAGCUCUGUCCAGAGGAUUCCCAGUGUCUACGUUCCUUUUUUACUUCUUGGGAAAUGUGUCUGUGAGGAAAAGAAUGCGAUCGUAACAGAGGUUGUAGACGCAUGAAAGAGCACUACGACCUCAGCUUCUGUUGUCUGCUGCGCCUCAGAUUGAAUGAGGAUCCCAUUUGUGUAAAAGCCUGUUUUAAGAUAGACAAGUUGAGAGUCUAAAUAGCUCUAGAGCUUGGACUAUCUCAGGAGCCUUUGGCUAAGAAGUCUAAACAAUGCUGCUAUUUCAUUUUUAAUGCAGCUUUUUCUAAAUGCUCUCAAUAUCCUCCAGUGGAGUAAUUGAAAAUCUUAUUAUGAGAAACCAUGUGGGGACAAAGAUUAUUCAAUCAGUGAAAUGAUUUCUCCAGUAAAUUUGAACUGGGCUGAGUUUUUUAACUUUACAAAAAUAUACAUCAUAUGUACAGGUCUUUCCCUAGGUCCUAGCACCCCAGAUUUGGGUUAAACCUGCUGGGUUCUAGAACUUUAAAUUAAAACAAACAAAUAAAUAUGUAAAUAAGUAAAGUUUAUUUAAAAAUAUUCUGCCAGUGCUAUAAGGCCUCUGGAAUGUAGAAACUUCUCAUAUAUGUGCUGACACAAUUUUAGCUUUAACUGUGAAUGGUUGCACUCUCUACAUAUUACUUGUACCAGUAUUUUAGACUUGCAAAAAACAAGCUUUUCUGGCAAGAGACAAUCCUUGUUUCAGAUUUUUUUUUUAAAUAUACGAGCAGGCACAAACACCUUCACAUUACGAUUUUUAUUAGUGUUAUCCCAUCUUUAAUUUUAUUCUAUGGCUAAGUAUCUCAUUUCCAAGUAAACUUCCAUUAGGAACAGAAAUUGCUGACACCACAUCUACUGACAGAAAUGCCACAACAUAAAUUAUGCCAAGAAAAUGCCGCUUUGGGUGGGGGGCAUGGUAGGGGGAACUUAGUCAGAUAAAAAGCCACUGUGCUACUGCCCAGCCUGCAACUCUGUCCCGCUGACCACUGAUAAAAUUUAUCACAGGGCCACAUACGGGAAGGCAGCUUAAAGAGUCGUCGUCUGUGGUAAAACGUGUAACAGCAAAACAGCUAAUGGAGCAUUAUUACUUUAUUGGAAAGCAAUAUCUCUGGAGGCUUCACUUUUCUAGCUUUAGCAAGUGUAUGAAUUGUUCUAUAUGCAGAAGAGCUGAUAUGAAGGAAAAAAUGGGUUAUCAGAACUCUGAAUGAUGGCAAUGGGCAUUUCCAGGGCUCACCAGUUCACCACUCUGCCCAGUACACUUAAGGAGCAAAAGGGUAAAUGAGUCCCAACAAAGUUAAAAACCAAUCUGAAUUUUCACUCUUAAAAGAAUGCUGAUCUAUAAUGCUAAUGGUUUCUUUGUGAAGAAGCAGUCUUGUGUCUUGUAAAUUCCUGGCUAAUUGUUGUCAAAAUUCAGUCCUGGCCUUAGUAGAAAUGUAGUAAGUAGAAAGUAGAAAUAUCCAGAUUCCACUAGUAAAAGGAAUCUCAUUCACCAAGAUAUUUAAAAACUUUGUCAUUGGAUGGGGCUUAUUUUGGGGGGUUGGAAAGAAAGAGCUUGGCAUCUUUACAGUAACAAUUGAACGACCAGAAGGGUUACUAAUAAAAAUGAUUAGGUGGUGUGGUGCUUUAAAUGACAGGGAAGAGGGCAUUUCAAAGAGGUGAAGGAGACUAAUUGUUAUCACUUGCUGCUCGAAUGAGGGAGAGUGACGUCACCAAGAUGGCGACCGAGGUUGUUCUUGACUUCUCCUCUCCUCGCGAGAGGAACAAGUCACAAGUAUUUAGGAACGAGACAUCGCUAGAACUUGGGAGUGAGGCCGAAGCUCCCCCGGCCCUGCACCACAGAGACCCAGACAGACUCCGUUAGAAAGGCUGAUGAAAUCUGCAUACAACACAAAGCUGGAUGAGUUGGCUCUUAUGCUGGGUGACAAGCCAACAGCCUGCAGAAUCCUGAGCUUCGUGCUGAUGACAGGUAUUGAAACAGGCACUUACACACCUGUUAAUCUUCAAGGAGGUUUAAAAAAACGAACUCAUCCACUUGUUUAGUCAAAAAUGGGUACUAACAUUCUACCCAACUAAUGAAAGCCAUUUUGGAACCAUAGUAAUUGGGUAACAGAAGUAUAGCAGAAUGAAGGAUCAACAGUCUGAAGGUUAAGCGGUAAACCCCAGUCGUUCCAUUUACCAGUUGUGUGGCCUUGGGCACUGGAAUUAACGUAACAGAGCUCUCUAGCCACGAUCUGUUCUAUUUGUGAACAAUAAAAGAACAACAGUGAUAUUAAUUGCUGUGAUUCAGGUAUCACCAGUUCCUGUGUAAUUGAAGACCCCAACAACUUACUUGAUCAUUUCUUUGCUUGCUAACAUGUAAACCAAUGGUAAUCAAGGCAAGUGAGAGAAUAUGAAAGUUAAAUGUGAGACUUCUUAAUAACUGAUCAAAUGAAAAGAGGAACACACCUGACUAGAAAACUGUGUAAAUGAUGAUUUGAGGCUUUGCAUUUCACAAGAAUGAGAUAACUAAUAAGGAUAUAAUACCCUGAAAGCUCUGCCCUUCUUGAUAUAUUUCAUUAACUCUAAAGUCACUUCUUCCAGAAGUUUUAAUGCCAGUAAUUUCCCCUGACUCUGGUUAUUGAUCCAUUUGGGGAGCAUUUUUUUUUAGCAUGUAAGCAGUGGGUCCAGUGUAUGUUAUGUUUAUUUAUAGUUAUUGAUGUUUCUUUAAAUUAGCUUCCUAUAAUAUCUGCAAAAGAUGGAAAAGAUUGAAAAAGACUAGUUGACAACAGAUUACACAUGGCCUUGGAUGAGAUAUAAAAUGUUUGGACUUUAUCUAUAAUCUACCAGGAGGAGUUAUUGUAGAUUACUUUUACCUGGGUCCUGCACCCAAGUUUCUGAUUAACUGAUCUAGAGUGAGGUCUGAGCAUUGGUAUUAAAAAAAAUAGCUUCACAUCUACUGAUCAGGAUCCAAGAAAAAUGAUUUAAAUGAAGAGACUAUAAUGAAGGGACAAGUUGCAAAAGUGUGAGCAAGGUUAAUCCAACAAAUUCAGUAUUAAGGAGAAGGUGGCCAGAAAUUAGUAAUGUCUGGAGUCCAUUUGGCCUCCUGGUAGGAACUGUAAUCACAGAGGGACAAAACUGCUGACAAAGUUGUGAUUCCCCUGACACAAAAAACAAAACAAAACAAACAAACAAACAAACAACUAAGGAAAACAUAAUUUGACACUCCUCCUGUCCACCCGUUUUCUGUCAAUGCUUCCAUUGGUGAAAUCCUGAGAGAAACUACUGGGCAAGGGAACCCAGAUGAUGUGCUCUGUGGAGGUUAUCCUCCUGGGGCAUAGGACAGGGUUGAGAAGGAUGAAGAAUGUAUAGGAGGAGGCAAAUAGGAAAUAACAAUACAGGUGACUCUAUAGCUAAGUUUGAGAGUUGCCGCUGUAGAUAGUAGGGGGACCAGGGAGCUCAAAGGAUCACAUAAUACACAUAGUAAACUCUGAGAAUGGUUUGUCCCACACCUUCAUUUUCACACUUGAAACUGAGGCCAGAGAGUGACACUACACAUCCACCGUCAUAGAGUUAGGAAGCCUAAGAUUCAGGGCUACAAGGAUUCCACAUUAUCAAACACACAAAUUGGUAUGAUGAAAACAAUACUUAAGGAAAAUUAAUUUGGCAACAAUGUACCGAGUAUCUUUAAAGAUAAAAAUAUUAGAGGAGAAUACAAGUUUGGAAAGUAUUGGUAUGACUUUAAGGGUGAGAUUUUAGGAUUCUAAACUAAAUGGAAGUUGAGAGGGGGCACCUGGGUGACUCAGUCCGUCAAACAUCCAACUUCGGCUCAGGUCAUGAUCUCGUGGUUCAUGGGUUUGAGCCCUGUGUCAGGUUCUGUGCUGACAGCACAGAGCCUGGAGCCUGCUUCAGAUUCUGUGUCUCCCUCUCUUUCUUCCCCUAGCCUGCUCACACACACACACACUCUCUCUCAAAAAUAAACAUUAAAAAAAAUUAAACUAAAUGAAAGUUGAGAUGGAAAGGAGGAAACCAAUACUACAGAGCAUGCAAAGAAAGUUUUACAGACUUUUGUAAAUUGCCGUGUGGAUGAGAAAGGUGAAUGAAAAGAAUUUGGAAUCAGAUAGGAGUUGGAUAAUUCUAGUCCAGAACAAUAGGAGAGAGGUGGUAAUAGUGAAAUGGCACAAGAAUAGAAGCUGUUUCUCUAGGGAAGGAGUUUGGUUUUAGGUGGUUUGAAUAUAUGAGUUGAAUAGUCCAUUAUCAGUUGGUGAAAUGGGAACUGGAAUAUGUGGUUAGAUAUAAUGUAUACAGUAAAUGUCUCCAGUCUUAAGAUUUUGUAGUUAUUGAAAUACCUGUGCUUAUUUAUCAGGCAGAAAAGAUCCUAGAGCCAGGUUAAAAUUGUUACUUAUUAGGGUAAAAACACAGGCAUGCCCUAAUAUUUUUCAUCCCUAGUUUACUGGACUGAAUGACUUAUAUGUCCUUCGAUAAGUUUCAAGAAUAUUUUAUUCUAUCAUUUGAUAUUUAUACAUGUGUAGGUCCCUGCCAUCUAGAUAAAGGGGUUUCCAAGUAAAGAUAGUCAUUAUAAACAUUCUUAAAUUCUUCAGAAAAAUGUACUAUCAAGGGAGAAGUGUUUCUAUCAUUUAGUCUCUGGGUAUAUUAAUUUAUUUUGCUAUCUGUCCUCCCAGCCCAAUAGGCUUAUUUGUUUAUCAUCCCUGAUACUCUGUUCAAACCAUGUGAAAGUAAUUUGUUUCUCAAAACAAUAAAAUUACACCUACUACUAACUUUUAUGUUUUGCUUUACAAAUCCUCCCUUACAGUUCACGUGGUGGGUGACCCUUUAAUAAGAAUGUUUGGGGGCGCCUGGGUGGCUCAGUCAGUUAAGCGUCCAACUUCAGCUAAGAUCAUGAUCACACAGUUUGUGAGUUUGAGUCCCACAUUGGACUCUGUGCUGACAGCCCAGAGCCUG